AGAGUUUGAUCAUGGCUCAGGAUGAACGCUGGCGGCGUGCUUAACACAUGCAAGUCGAACGAGGUCCAACCUUCGGGUGAAGACCGAGUGGCGAACGGGUGAGUAACACGUGGGGAACCUGCCCUUCUCUCUGGGAUAACGUCGGGAAAUCGGCGCUAAUACCGGAUACUCCUUGCGGAUCGCAUGGUCUGCUCGGGAAAGCUCCGGCGGAGAGGGAUGGCCCCGCGGCCCAUUAGCUAGUUGGUGAGGUAACGGCCCACCAAGGCGACGAUGGGUAGCCGAGCUGAGAGGCUGAUCGGCCACACUGGGACUGAGACACGGCCCAGACUCCUACGGGAGGCAGCAGUGGGGAAUCUUGCGCAAUGGGCGAAAGCCUGACGCAGCAACGCCGCGUGCGGGAUGAAGGCUCUCGGGUCGUAAACCGNCUUUCAGCAGGGAUGAAAUUGACAGUACCUGCAGAAGAAGCCCCGGCUAAAUACGUGCCAGCA
rnacentral:rRNA from 1 species